rnacentral:lncRNA from 1 species
CGCGGGCACAGCGUGAGGGCCGCCGUUGCUGGAGUUCAGCUUAGGGAAGGAGGACUCUGAGGAGGCCCCGAGCGGCGGAGCGCUUCGGGGGAGGCGCCCGCGCAGACGCGAGGCCCAUAGCCAGGACCACCACCUAGCUGAGGAACCGCCCUGGGCUUCCACCUGGAACGGGGUCCUUGGCGCCUCCGCCUGCGAGAGAAGCAGAAGGUGCAAGUUCUUGCUGAAAGCACCUGAUGCUCCUGGGCCCCCUUUUCCAGAUUCUUGAUGACAUUGGUCGGGAAAACUCGCCUUUCACGGCCCGGCCAAGGGGCAUUUGGGUGCUUUUGCUGCCCGUGGCUGUGCUCAGCGUUGUGGGAAGCCCCUGGGAGGCCGAAUGUGCAGGAUCACCGAGGGGAAAGUGAGCUUGACAGUAUGACGCCGUGCCCAUCCAGUCCAGCGUGGUGUUAUGUUCCUGCCCAUCCCCAUCAAUGGUGAGGACCCAGACUGAGUCCAGCACGCCCCCUGGCAUUCCUGGUGGCAGCAGGCAGGGCCCCGCCAUGGACGGCACUGCAGCCGAGCCUCGGCCCGGCGCCGGCUCCCUGCAGCAUGCCCAGCCUCCGCCGCAGCCUCGGAAGAAGCGGCCUGAGGACUUCAAGUUUGGGAAAAUUCUUGGGGAAGGCUCUUUUUCCACGGUUGUCCUGGCUCGAGAACUGGCAACCUCCAGAGAAUAUGCGAGUGA